rnacentral:rRNA from 1 species
UACAGAGGUCUCAAGCGUUGUUCGGAUUCAUUGGGCGUAAAGGGCGCGUAGGUGGCCUUCUAAGUUGAACGUGAAAUCCCUGGGCUCAACCCAGGAACUGCGUCCAAGACUGGGAGGCUUGAAUCCGGGAGAGGGAUGCGGAAUUCCAGGUGUAGCGGUGAAAUGCGUAGAUAUCUGGAGGAACACCGGUGGCGAAGGCGGCAUCCUGGACCGGUAUUGACACUGAGGCGCGAAAGCCAGGGGAGCAAACGGG